rnacentral:lncRNA from 1 species
UUUUUCCCAGAUUUAUUGGGUUUCCUCCUGAAUUGGUGUAUAGGCAUUAUCUCCUAGUGGAGAUGGAUAUGAUCGGGUGGUUCUGCUGGUGACACGAUGAUACUCCAGUAGUCCGUCAGUGAUCCAAAUUUGCCGUUUAAAAAAAAAAAAAAACUUACAUUAACAACUGGUUCCGAAGACACCAGUUAACACACACAGCCUCUGUUAGCUCCAUGGUCGGGCCGAAAAGGCAACUAUGUGCCUGGAGUUACCUAACGGCCCGGAUUUGAACUCGUGACCAACCCGGGCAGGAACCACAAAGAGGAUAAACCUUCCCACCUCCGACCAGUUGGACUGGCCAUCAUUGCCUUCUUAACUUUAUUAAUUGGGCGGCAUUAAGAAGUCUUUUAAUUGCCCUCACAAGUCAUGAGGGUUGACAUUGUGUCCUAG